UUCCUUUUGAAUUUUUAUAAAAGGUAUAUCCUGCCCAGUGAAUAUUUUAACGGCCGCGGUAUCCUAACCGUGCAAAGGUAGCAUAAUAAUUUGUCCAUUAAUUGUGGAAUAGAAUGAAUGGAAGAAUAAAAAAUUUAUUGUGUCAUAACUAUAAGUAAAAAUUAACAUUUAAGUGAAGAUGCUUAAAUAAAAUUAAAGGACAAGAAGACCCUAUAGAGCUUUAAUACUAUAAGUUGAAGAUUUUUAUGUAUUUCGGUUGGGGCGACCUAGGAAAAAACAUCCUAAAAAUAAAAACCAAUAGGUUAUAUAAAUGAUCCUAAUAAGAUAUAAAGAAAAAGUUACCUUAGGGAUAACAGGCUAAUCUUAUUUUAGAGUUCAUAUCAAUAAUAAGGAUUGGCACCUCGAUGUUGGCUUAGGAAUCCUAUAUUAGCGCAAAAGUUAUAUAAGGUAGUUUGUUCAACUAUUAAAUUCC
rnacentral:rRNA from 1 species